rnacentral:rRNA from 1 species
GACGAACGCUGGCGGCGUGCUUAACACAUGCAAGUCGAACGUGAUUUUUGUGGAAAUUCUUUCGGGAAUGGAAAUGAAAUGAAAGUGGCGAACGGGUGAGUAACACGUGAGCAACCUACCUUACACAGGGGGAUAGCCGUUGGAAACGACGAUUAAUACCGCAUGAGACCACAGAAUCGCAUGAUAUAGGGGUCAAAGAUUUAUCGGUGUAAGAAGGGCUCGCGUCUGAUUAGCUAGUUGGAAGGGUAAAGGCCUACCAAGGCGACGAUCAGUAGCCGGUCUGAGAGGAUGAACGGCCACAUUGGAACUGAGACACGGUCCAAACUCCUACGGGAGGCAGCAGUGGAGAAUAUUGCACAAUGGGGGGAACCCUGAUGCAGCGACGCCGCGUGAGCGAAGAAGGUUUUCGAAUCGUAAAGCUCUGUCCUAUGAGAAGAUAAUGACGGUAUCAUAGGAGGAAGCCCCGGCUAAAUACGUGCCAGCAGCCGCGGUAAUACGUAUGGGGCGAGCGUUGUCCGGAAUUAUUGGGCGUAAAGGGUACGUAGGCGGUUUUUUAAGUCAGGUGUGAAAGCGUGAGGCUUAACCUCAUUAAGCACUUGAAACUGGAAGACUUGAGUGAAGGAGAGGAAAGUGGAAUUCCUAGUGUAGCGGUGAAAUGCGUAGAUAUUAGGAGGAAUACCGGUGGCGAAGCGACUUUCUGGACUUUUACUGACGCUCAGGUACGAAAGCGUGGGGAGCAAACAGG